rnacentral:rRNA from 1 species
UACGUAGGGGGCGAGCGUUGUCCGGAUUCAUUGGGCGUAAAGAGCUCGUAGGCGGCUUGGCAAGUCGGAUGUGAAACCUCCAGGCUCAACCUGGAGCCGCCAUUCGAUACUGCCAUGGCUAGAGUCCGGUAGGGGACCACGGAAUUCCUGGUGUAGCGGUGAAAUGCGCAGAUAUCGGGAGGAACACCGGUGGCGAAGGCGGCUCUCUGGACCACUACUGACGCUGAGGCGCGAAAGCUAGGGGAGCAAACAGG